CCUACGGGUGGCAGCAGUGGGGAAUAUUGGUCAAUGGGCGGAAGCCUGAACCAGCCAAGUCGCGUGAGGGAAUAAGGCCCUACGGGUCGUAAACCUCUUUUGCCGGGGAGCAAGGGCGGGGACGUGUCCCGUCCCGCAGAGUACCCGCAGAGAAAGCAUCGGCUAACUCCGUGCCAGCAGCCGCGGUAAUACGGAGGAUGCGGGCGUUAUCCGGAUUUAUUGGGGUUAAAGGGUGCGUAGGCGGGCUUUUGAGUCAGCGGUAAAAAUUCGUUGCUAAACCCAGUCCGGCCGUUGAAACUGGGGGCCUUGAGUGGGCGAGAGGAAGGCGGAAUGCGUGGUGUAGCGGUGAAAUGCAUAGAUAUCACGAAGAACCCCGAUUGCGAAGGCAGCCUGCCGGAGCCCGACUGACGCUGAGGCACGAAAGUGCGGGGAUCGAACAGGAUUAGAUACCCGUGUAGUC
rnacentral:rRNA from 1 species